CUAUACAUGCAAGUCGAGCGAACAGAUAAGGAGCUUGCUCCUUUGACGUUAGCGGCGGACGGGUGAGUAACACGUGGGUAACCUACCUAUAAGACUGGAAUAACUCCGGGAAACCGGGGCUAAUGCCGGAUAACAUAUAGAACCGCAUGGUUCUAUAGUGAAAGAUGGUUUUGCUAUCACUUAUAGAUGGACCCGCGCCGUAUUAGCUAGUUGGUAAGGUAAUGGCUUACCAAGGCGACGAUACGUAGCCGACCUGAGAGGGUGAUCGGCCACACUGGAACUGAGACACGGUCCAGACUCCUACGGGAGGCAGCAGUAGGGAAUCUUCCGCAAUGGGCGAAAGCCUGACGGAGCAACGCCGCGUGAGUGAUGAAGGGUUUCGGCUCGUAAAACUCUGUUAUUAGGGAAGAACAUAUGUGUAAGUAACUGUGCACAUCUUGACGGUACCUAAUCAGAAAGCCACGGCUAACUACGUGCCAGCAGCCGCGGUAAUACGUAGGUGGCAAGCGUUAUCCGGAAUUAUUGGGCGUAAAGCGCGCGUAGGCGGUUUCUUAAGUCUGAUGUGAAAGCCCACGGCUCAACCGUGGAGGGUCAUUGGAAACUGGGAAACUUGAGUGCAGAAGAGGAAAGUGGAAUUCCAUGUGUAGCGGUGAAAUGCGCAGAGAUAUGGAGGAACACCAGUGGCGAAGGCGACUUUCUGGUCUGUAACUGACGCUGAUGUGCGAAAGCGUGGGGAUCAACAGAUA
rnacentral:rRNA from 1 species